UACAUGAAACUCCACCCCUGUGAACAUAACCUCUGUCGUUGCUUCGGCGGGCACGCCCGCCGGAGGUUCAAAACUCUUAUUUUUUCCAGUAUCUCUGAGCCUGAAAGACAAAUAAUCAAAACUUUCAACAACGGAUCUCUUGGUUCUGGCAUCGAUGAAAAACGCAGCGAAAUGCGAUAAGUAAUGUGAAUUGCAAAAUUCAGUGAAUCAUCGAAUCUUUGAACGCACAUUGCGCCCGCCGGUAUUCCGGCGGGCAUGCCUGUUCAAGCGUCAUUUCAACCCUCAAGCCUCGGCUUGGUGUCGGGGCGCCCGGGCCCUCCGCGGCCCGGGGCCCCCAAGUUCAUCGGCGGGCUCGUCGGUACACUGAGCGCAGUAAAACGCGGUAAAACGCGAACCUCGUUCGGAUCGUCCCGGCGUGCUCCAGCCGCUAAACCCCCAAUUUUUUAAAGGUUGACCUCGGAUCAGGUAGGAAUACCCGCUGAACUUAAGCAUAUCAAAAAAGAAAUUAUGCCCCUGGGAACAUGGGGGGUGGUGGUUGCUUCGGCGGGCACGCCCGCCGGAGGUUCAAAACUCUUAUUUUUUUCCAGUAUCUCUGAGCCUGAAAGACAAAUAAUCGAGACUUUUCAACAACGGAAUCUCGUGGUUCUGGCGUCGAUGAAGAAACGCAGCGGAAUUGCGGAUGAGUUAUGUGAAGUUGCAGAAAUUCCGUGGAAAUCAUCGAAUCUUUUGAAACGCACAUUGGCGCCCCGGCCGGGUAUUUUCCGGGAGGGGGGAUGGCUUGUUUCGUAGUCGUUCUAUUUCCAAACAA
rnacentral:rRNA from 1 species